GAUGAACGCUGGCGGCGUGCCUAAUACAUGCAAGUCGAGCGAACGGACGAGAAGCUUGCUUCUCUGAUGUUAGCGGCGGACGGGUGAGUAACACGUGGAUCACCUACUUAUAAGACUGGGAUAAUUUCGGAAAACCGGAGCUAAUACCGGAUAAUAUUUUGAACCGCAUGGUUCAAAAGUGAAAGACGGCCUUGCUGUUACUAAUAGAUGGUUCCGCGCUGCAUUAGCUAGUUGGUAAGGUAACGGCCUACCAAGGCUACGAUGCAUAGCCGACCUGAGAGGGUGAUCGGCCACACUGGAACUGAGACACGGUCCAGACUCCUACGGGAGGCAGCAGUAGGGAAUCUUCCGCAAUGGGCGAAAGCCUGACGGAGCAACGCCGCGUGAGUGAUGAAGGUCUUCGGAUCGUAAAACUCUGUUAUUGGGGAAGAACAGAUGUGUAAGUAACUGUGCACAGCGUGACGGUACCGAAUCAGAAAGCCACGGCUAACUACGUG
rnacentral:rRNA from 1 species